rnacentral:rRNA from 1 species
CCUACGGGGGGCAGCAGUGGGGAAUAUUGCGCAAUGGGCGAAAGCCUGACGCAGCGACGCCGCGUGAGGGAUGAAGGUCUUCGGAUCGUAAACCUCUGUCAGCAGGGAAGAACGGUCACUGUGCUAAUCAGCAGUGAAUUGACGGUACCUGCAAAGGAAGCACCGGCUAACUCCGUGCCAGCAGCCGCGGUAAUACGGAGGGUGCGAGCGUUAAUCGGAAUUACUGGGCGUAAAGCGCUCGUAGGCGGUAUGUCAAGUCAAGGGUGAAAUCCCCGCGCUCAACGUGGGAAUUGCCUUUGAAACUGGCAAACUGGAGUGUGUGAGAGGAUAGUGGAAUUCCAGGUGUAGGAGUGAAAUCCGUAGAUAUCUGGAGGAACAUCAGUGGCGAAGGCGACUAUCUGGAACAUAACUGACGCUGAGGAGCGAAAGCGUGGGUAGCAAACAGGAUUAGAUACCCCAGUAGUC